UUGUGUAGCAAGAAGUUUUAUCUUAAAUGCUGAAGGCAGCAGUUCAGAUUGUCUAGCGAGGUGGAAGGGGAGGUGAAGGCCAAGUUCUCUGUUAGUGUAAAUCCCUGAAUCUGAAAUUCUUGCUGUGGAUGGGAGGUCCUUCAUUCUCAUCUCACUUCCUAUCUGCUCCUCAGUUGCUGUGUGACUUCCUGAACCAAGUCACGAAUUUUUGUACUUUGCCCCUCUCGAGGAAAACAAGAGUGCUGGAAAGAGACUGAGGACUGCCCUUGCCGAGGUGAAGCAUAGAUGUUCUCUGCCCAGAAAACCUUAAACAAAAGAUGGGUAUGAAUGACAGAUCAAGAGACUUUCAGUUUGUAGAGGCAGCUCUGAAUGGAGUAAUUGUGAUUCACAAAACGUGUCACCCAGUUCCUGAUGGAGAGGCCUGAGGCUACCUGGUUGUGGACUUUAAGUGAUGGUUCAUUAUUGGAGCAGUGCAGAAAACUAAGAUUUAAGAUUUUUGAAUUAAGAAGUUGAUUUGGACUCCUCAGAAAGUUUAAUGCCCAAGAGGAUUUGUUAUCUGAGCUGGAAAAAAGUGCACAGGAACCCACUGCUCUUCUGAACCCACCAACUGCCUCCUUACUGCUGAUUUUGCAAGGUUCAACCUGGACUUGCUGCACAUCCACGUGGAAGCAGAAUUUGAACUCCUCGGGUUUGUACAUCUUACUCACAGAUUUAUUAGGACAAUCAUUUAAUAGUCUCAUUCUUCAGUGAUCCUAUUAACUUCCAAGUUUUGGUGUCUGUUCAGCUGUGCACAAAGAGCUGUUCUCAGAACUGUUUUCCUGAUUAAAGAUUAACAGUGUGAUAAAAGAAGGAAACAUGGGCAUCCUUGGAGUUUGUUUCUUACAUCAGCUGGGUUAAACCUUUACUAUCUUUUCUCACUGUGUAUCUUUUAUCUGUGUUUGG